rnacentral:rRNA from 1 species
AUGUAAGGAUUCAAAGGUCGAACAGACCUAAACUUUGAACUUCUACACCCAAAAAUAACCCUUAAUCCAACAUCGAGGUCGCAAUCUUUUUUGUCGAUAUGAACUCUCAAAAAAAAUUACGCUGUUAUCCCUAAGGUAACUUAGUCUUAUAAUCAAUAAUAUUGGAUCAAUAAUUCAAUAAUUUUUGUAAAAAUAAAAAAAAAGAGUUUUAUAAAUCUUCCUGUCACCCCAACAAAAUAUUUAAUUUAAUAAAAUUUAAAAAUUUCUAUAAAUAAAUUAUUAUACAAAUAUAAAGUUCUAUAGGGUCUUCUCGUCCUUUAAUUAUAUUUAAGCCUUUUAACUUAAAAGUUAAAUUAUAAUUUCAUUUAAAUUGAGACAGUUAACACCUCGUUCAAUCAUUCAUUCUAGCCCUCAAUUAAAAGACUAAUUAUUAUGCUACCUUUGCACGGUCAAAAUACCGCGGCCCUUUAAAUCAUCAGUGGGCAGAUUAGACUUUAAAUUAUUUUCUAAAAG